rnacentral:pre_miRNA from 1 species
AUACUACUCCUCUGAUUCAUAUUACUUGUCGCUCAAACGGAUGUAUCUAGACGUAUUUUAGUGCUAGAUACAUCCAUUUGAGCGACAAGUAAUAUGGAUCGGAGGGAGUAUCAA